rnacentral:misc_RNA from 1 species
CGGAUGUGAAAGAUGCGAUUUGACGCACACAUCUAACAUCUAUCAUUUAUGUGUGCAGAAUAUUUUUGCGCAUAUGUUAGAGCGAUGUUCUUUUCAGAAACAAUGAUCAUGAUCACAUCGAUGAAGCUAAAUUCACGCGGAGGAGCACUGUAUGUGGCUGCUCCUGACAUGACUCCGCAAUUUUCAUUCGAAAUCUCGAAAUUCGACGAUUAAAAAAUUCAAAAUUUUGACACUAGUAAUCUCGUACAAAUAUAUGAGCAGAAAUUACGUACCUACAUGAAUCUUGAAAUAUGUUAUUAACAUGCCACUCGUAUUCCGCAGUUGAGUCGAAACGUAGAAAUUUUGUUUAUUAUGGUUAGCCUAGCGUGCACCCUUUCGACGAAAAGACCGCUCUAUCGGGAUAUUGAAACAUGGAGAUUUUCGAUAAACACGUUGUGCUCGUUGCCCUUGGACGAAAUAAAAGGUGAUAAUACAGCGCGGAAUGUGAGAGCUGCAAUAUUUUCCGAAGUGAAUCCAACUCCAAUCAUUCGUAAUCCAAAACUCGUUGCCGUCUCCGAAGAUGUUCUUCUCAACAUUCUCGACAUGGAUCCAAGUAUCUCUGAGACAAGCGGAUUCGUUCAAUUUGUAUCCGGUGAACCAGUUACGAAUUCAACCCCGUUAGCCCACUGCUACGGUGGAUUUCAAUACGGAGAGUGGGCUUCGCAACUUGGGGAUGGCAGAGCACAUGUUCUCGGAGAAUACAUAAAUUCCAAAGGUGAAAGAUGGGAAUUACAACUAAAAGGAUCAGGUCGGACUCCUUAUUCCCGUACUUUCGAUGGACGUGCGGUGUUAAGAUCAUCGAUUAGAGAAUUCCUUUGCUCUGAGGCGAUGCAUUAUUUGGGUGUGGGAACAACCAGAUCAGCAGCGCUUGUCGUAGGAGAUGAUCCAGUUUUAAGAGAUCAAUUCUAUUCUGGCCACAUCCGAACCGAAAGAGCUGCGAUCUUAUUAAGGGUAGCACCUUCUUGGUUUCGUUUUGGUUCUCUUGAAAUUUUAGCACAUCGUGGCGAACUGUUACAGCUGAAGAUGCUCGUUGAUUACAUAAUACAAAAUCAUUUCACGGACAUUAACGCGCUCGAAUUGGAGAACCGUUACGUCGUGUUGUUUGGGCGAAUAGCACACCGUACAGUGGAGUUGGCUGUACAAUGGCAGAGCGUUGGUUUUGUCCAUGGUCUACUGAAUACCGAUAAUAUGAGCGUUCUCGGAAUAACCAUUGAUUAUGGUCCAUUUGGUUUCGUCGAAACCUAUGAUUCCAAAUUUGUUCCAAAUUGUUCAGACAGAGCCGGAAAAUACUCGCUGGAUAAACAAUUAGAUGUCAUAUUGUGGAACCUAGAAAGGCUCGCGGCGGCUUUUGAACCAUUUUUGAAUGAAAAUCAGAAGAUUCACGUGUCGAGUAUAUUGAGAAUGCUUGCUGGAUAUGGAAGAAGAAAGUUGAGGUCAUUGAUGAGAGCGAAAUUGGGUCUGAUUACGGACGUUGAAGAAGAUCAACAGUUACUUGCCACUCUGCUUUCGAUGAUGGAGGAAACCGGAGCAGAUUACACUAUGACUUUUAGACAGAUGGCAUUGAUUCAUCCGGAUUCAAUGUUGGAUUGCGAUGUUCUAAGAAGCCAUUGGGCACUUUCACGGCUAAUGUGUCACGAAUAUUACGCGUCAUUCGUGGAAGCUUAUAAGCGACGACUUUACUCCGAAGGAGAUUACAAUGACAUGGAACGCAGGUCGAGAAUGAACGAGGUGAAUCCAUUGUAUAUAUUAAGAAAUUGGAUGGCACAAAGUGCAAUUGAAAAAGCUGAGAAAGACAAUUUUUCCGAGGUGAUGCUGCUACAUAAGAUAUUGGAGACACCGUACUCGGAGAAUUGCGAAGCCGAAAGGCUCGGAUACGCCGCACCACCAUCGCCGGAUGCUUAUCGAUUGCGAAUCAGCUGCUCUAGUUAGCCACAAGAUCGUUAACAUAGAUCACAUCAUAGUGAGAGAAAACUGCGGUGUACCCAGAAGUUGAACCCGCUGAUAGAGUACCACUAAUCCGUGUUUAAAUGCUUUUUCCAUGUUACAAAUGUCCGAUUUGUCAUUGUAAGACAUAUCGAUAAAUUCAAAUUGAAUUACCGUUGAAUCAAAAAAGUUAAUUCGAAUUGCGAUCUGCGGUUUAUAUCGUUGUUCUACUUCCGCAUGAAGCCCCUCCAGCAAAGAGAAUUUUCACGAUUAUAAUCUAGAUCGAAGAUUCAAGUCCCUCUUGGGGUGAAUUAUGAUAUUGCGUUAGUAUAUUCUGUGUCCAUCUAGCCAGAUGAUAAAGUUGAUGUUGAAAUUAAUUUCUUGUGGUAAUCUACGACAUUUUUCCUUGAUCAAAAACUUGUCGGGAAAAAAAUUUGUACAUCAUAUAAAAAGUCUAACGGAUACUAUUAUAAACCCAACUCUCGCACUCGUUCAUCAGAUCUUAUCUGGUAAUCUUGAGUGUUGAACACAGUGUAACUCGGGUAACCAGUGAAUAGAAAAUUGGCCCAAAAAUAAUAGCAUAAAUCGUAUUAAACAUCAUAGCGAAGAGUUGUAUAGGAUAAGAAAGAGAAAAAAAGAGAAAGAGGAAAAACGAAAAAGAA